rnacentral:lncRNA from 1 species
ACUGUUGAAAAAUUAUUACAAUUUAAUGUUAAUAAAAUAACAAUGUAAAGUUUUAAAGCAUAUUGUACUCAACCUGUGCUUUGCUAUCAAUAACUAUUCCCACUUUUGCUCUUGUUAUUGUGCAUCCAUGAAAAUAAUUGCACUAUUUGAGAAUAUGUGUAUGUAUGAACAAUUCUUUUCACAAAUGAAAAUUAAUAAAUCCAACACAAGAAAUCGAUUGACUGAUGAAUCUUUAAUGAAGGUAGUUUCCAGUAAUUCAUCUCCAAGGUUACAAAUUUUAGCAGAUUCACCUCAUCAUCAGGUUUCAAGUACUGUAGUAGUUAAAAAUAAAAAAUUGUUUUAUGAUCUCAUAACUAUGAAAUGUUAUUUUGAUAUCUUUGUAAAAAAAUGAAAUUACAGGAAUACCUCACUUAAUACUCU